AUGUCUUUUGAUAUAAAGGUGACUUCUAAAUGGGCUAGUAUUUUCCUGGAUUAUACCAAUUUAUUUGUCUCAUAUGUCUUAGGCAAAUUAUCAAUAUAUUUCCAAGCACUUUUCUGUCUUUUCUCAAGAGGAAAAAAUGUCACAAACAUGAGUUCAGGUCUCCGUCAUCCUCCAAUAUCUCUCUCCCUGAAUCGGCUUCAUCUUGUAGAUGAGAAAAGUGACUCGGCCAACACGAUAGUGCUAUCGAAGGAUUAUGCAAUGAAGAGCUAUGGUUUGGGCGCUUGGGCUUGGGAACAGAUGUCUGGCAGAGUCAGGGCAGAUGCAUGGCUCACUCAGAAUUGAAGGCUAAUGCCUAUACCACUGUCUGUGAUCAAUGACCAUCGUGGGAAGACGGAGGAAGGUCGGGGGGCAAGCAGGCCUGGGCAUCGGGUGCAAAUGAGAGGCAGUCAGGAAGCCUGGGUGCCAGUCCUGGCCCUGCCAGGGAUGGACUUUCUCAGAGACCCCAGGGGCCGAACUGGCCAUGUCGAGCAAAUAAACCAAACCCUUUGAAAAUGACCUUCA
rnacentral:lncRNA from 1 species